UCGAGAAUCUUUCGCAAUGCCCGAAAGGGUGACGAAGCGACGCCGCGUGUGGGAUGAAGGCCUUCGGGUUGUAAACCACUGUCGGGAGUUAAGAAUUGUAGGAAUGCUAAUAGUAUUUCUACUUGACUAAGGCUCCGGAGGAAGCCACGGCUAACUCUGUGCCAGCAGCCGCGGUAAUACAGAGGCAGCAAGCGUUGUUCGGAAUUAUUGGGCGUAAAGAGCAUGUAGGCGGCUAUGUAAGUCGGUUGUGAAAGCCUUCCGCUUAACGGAAGAAUGGCGGUCGAAACUGCAUGGCUUGAGUGCGGGAGGGGAGAGUGGAACUUCUGGUGGAGCGGUGAAAUGCGUAGAUAUCAGAAGGAACGUCGGCGGCGAAAGCGACUCUCUAGACCGUAACUGACGCUGAGUGUGCGAAAGCUAGGGGAGCAAACGGGAUUA
rnacentral:rRNA from 1 species